GGACUAGGAUGGUCAAGUAUACUUCGGUCUUCAAAGGAAGCAAUGGGCCAAAGAGAAGAAGGGAUACAACAAGCACUCCCCAGGACUCAACGGGUUUUAAACGCAGAGAGGCAAAAAAGCAGACCUAUUUUCCUGGAAAACAGAUAGGCCUAUGACAGAAAAUUACCAAGUGAGAACGAGCAGAGGCCAGUUGGUCAACAACAGGUGUUGAUAACUUCUGCGUGCAAAGAUCUUCAGGGAGGCACAGAGGAAGAAGAGGCCAGUAAGCCUUGCCCUUACACACUAUGGUCUAGUGGGAUAACAUAACCACACCCAUGGGGGGCGGAAUAGUGUAGCAAGACUUGCUGGAAAAUGAAGAUGCAAAGGACAAAGGGCAAAGUGGAGUGUGGAAGGGGGAACUUGGGACUCCCUGGAAGCAUCCACACCAUCAAAGAAACAAGACAGAAACAAACAGCCCCUCCCCUUUCUCCCUAGGAAGUUGAAAGUUCAUUCUCAGAGUCUAAAAAGGCAAGAGUUUAAGGCUUCUGAUUUCUCUUGUGAUCUUUUCCAGCCACAUCACUCACUGUCCAGAAAAGGAUGCUGUACUGUAUCCUAUGGUACAAACUAAAUCAGGGAUUUAGAUAGGAUUCUAUAGGAAUGGAGAUAGGAAUCAACAGACUGUCAUCCAACCCUGGAACCCUUUGUCUUUCAGAUGCUCUGAUGGGAGGACCAGAGACAGGCAGCUACCUACUGACUUUUUACCCUCUCAGAGCUCUGGUGUGAAAAUACCAGGCUCAACACUUGACAGUUAAAGUGGUCACAGUUAAGUUC